rnacentral:rRNA from 1 species
CUAAUACAUGCAAGUCGAGCGGACAGAAGGGAGCUUGCUCCCGGAUGUUAGCGGCGGACGGGUGAGUAACACGUGGGUAACCUGCCUGUAAGACUGGGAUAACUCCGGGAAACCGGAGCUAAUACCGGAUAGUUCCUUGAACCGCAUGGUUCAAGGAUGAAAGACGGUUUCGGCUGUCACUUACAGAUGGACCCGCGGCGCAUUAGCUAGUUGGUGAGGUAACGGCUCACCAAGGCGACGAUGCGUAGCCGACCUGAGAGGGUGAUCGGCCACACUGGGACUGAGACACGGCCCAGACUCCUACGGGAGGCAGCAGUAGGGAAUCUUCCGCAAUGGACGAAAGUCUGACGGAGCAACGCCGCGUGAGUGAUGAAGGUUUUCGGAUCGUAAAGCUCUGUUGUUAGGGAAGAACAAGUGCAAGAGUAACUGCUUGCACCUUGACGGUACCUAACCAGAAAGCCACGGCUAACUACGUGCCAGCAGCCGCGGUAAUACGUAGGUGGCAAGCGUUGUCCGGAAUUAUUGGGCGUAAAGGGCUCGCAGGCGGUUUCUUAAGUCUGAUGUGAAAGCCCCCGGCUCAACCGGGGAGGGUCAUUGGAAACUGGGAAACUUGAGUGCAGAAGAGGAGAGUGGAAUUCCACGUGUAGCGGUGAAAUGCGUAGAGAUGUGGAGGAACACCAGUGGCGAAGGCGACUCUCUGGUCUGUAACUGACGCUGAGGAGCGAAAGCGUGGGGAGCGAACAGGAUUAGAUACCCUGGUAGUCCACGCCGUAAACGAUGAGUGCUAAGUGUUAGGGGGUUUCCGCCCCUUAGUGCUGCAGCUAACGCAUUAAGCACUCCGCCUGGGGAGUACGGUCGCAAGACUGAAACUCAAAGGAAUUGACGGGGGCCCGCACAAGCGGUGGAGCAUGUGGUUUAAUUCGAAGCAACGCGAAGAACCUUACCAGGUCUUGACAUCCUCUGACAACCCUAGAGAUAGGGCUUUCCCUUCGGGGACAGAGUGACAGGUGGUGCAUGGUUGUCGUCAGCUCGUGUCGU